rnacentral:rRNA from 1 species
GCAUUGUUAAGGAACUCGGCAAAAUGACCCCGUAACUUCGGGAGAAGGGGUGCCCUGUGAAAGCAGGGCCGCAGAGAAUAGGCUCAAGCAACUGUUUAGCAAAAACACAGGUCUAUGCGAAACCGAAAGGUGAGGUAUAUGGGCUGACGCCUGCCCGGUGCUGGAAGGUUAAGAGGAGAGGUUAGCGCAAGCGAAGCUUUGAAUUUAAGCCCCAGUAAACGGCGGCCGUAACUAUAACGGUCCUAAGGUAGCGAAAUUCCUUGUCGGGUAAGUUCCGACCCGCACGAAAGGCGUAAUGAUUUGAGCGCUGUCUCGACAAUGCAUCCGGUGAAAUUGAAGUACCAGUGAAGAUGCUGGUUACCUGCGCCAGGACGGAAAGACCCCAUGGAGCUUUACUCCAGCUUGAUACUGGGAUUCGAUACUGUAUGUACAGGAUAGGUGGGAGACGUUGAACAUAGAACGCCAGUUUUAUGUGAGUCGCUGUUGGGAUACCACCCUUGCAGUAUUGGAUUUCUAACCUGCACCCAUGACCUGGGUGGGGGACAAUGUCUGGCGGGGAGUUUGACUGGGGCGGUCGCCUCCGAAAGGGUAUCGGAGGCGCUCAAAGGUUCCCUCAGAAUGGUUGGAAACCAUUCGAAGAGUGCAAAGGCAGAAGGGAGCUUGACUGCGACACCGACGGGUGGAGCAGGUACGAAAGUAGGACUUAGUGAUCCGGUGGUAUGAAAGUGGGAUUGCCAUCGCUCAACGGAUAAAAGCUACCCUGGGGAUAACAGGCUUAUCACUCCCAAGAGUUCACAUCGACGGAGUGGUUUGGCACCUCGAUGUCGGCUCAUCGCAUCCUGGGGCUGUAGCAGGUUCCAAGGGUUGGGCUGUUCGCCCAUUAAAGCGGUACGCGAGCUGGGUUCAGAACGUCGUGAGACAGUUCGGUCCCUAUCCGGCGCGGGCGUAGGAUAUUUGAGAGGAGCUGCCCUUAGUACGAGAGGACCGGGGUGGACUGGCCGCUGGUGUAUCUGUUGUAUUACCAAGUGCAUAGCAGAGUAGCCAAGCCGGGAAGGGAUAAACGCUGAAGGCAUCUAAGCGUGAAGCCCCCCUCAAGAUGAGAUAUCCCUCAGAAAUGAGUAAGACCCCUUGAAGACUACGAGGUAGAUAGGAAUGAGGUGUAAGCACAGCAAUGUGUUCAGCUGACAUUUACUAAUCGGUCGAGGGCUUGACCAA